UCUUGUUAGAGUGGAAGACAGGUGCGUGGCGAAGGAGAGGUAAUCGCUGCCGAGUCACUUAAUAGUGCAGCGCUAGUUCUAGUGUGCGUUUUCAGGCUGGUGUUUUAAGUCGUUUUUGAAGCUCCCUCAAAUGUUUGCGGUCUAAAGAACUUACGCAGUUGAUAACUUUUGGUGUGUUGGUGAAUGGAUGGUGUGAAUUCGUUACAGGUUUUUUCUGUAGCUACUGUUUAUUUCUUUAAAUGAAAUGGAGGCUGCAAAUGUUAGAUUUCAGAGUAGAAGUUCUCUACCACAUUUUUGAUAAGUCUGCUUGUAACUUACACAGCUUCAAUUUAGCCUGAAAUUCUUGUGCUGGUAGUAAAGAAACAGAACAGCUUAUUCCUGUGUGUCAAGACAAUUAACUCUAAGACUUCUAUUUCUUCAUCUUUAAAAAUGUUACAGACUGGAAAAAAAAACAUAACUUUUUUCUCUGAAUACAUAUUUUAGUCUCUUUGUCCUUUUUUCCCUUUCGCUCCUUUAUUCUUACACACUUUAAAGCAAUGCUUAUGUAACUUCUUGUUUACUCUGCUGAAUUGAAUGUGUUCUGAGAUUGUGUUCCUUUUUUCAGUGUACAUGUUUUAAAUCUUCUUUACUUCUCAAUGCAGACACUUCAUGGAUCCUGAUUAGAAACAAGAUGAGAAGUCAUCAGCAGAACAUGAAGAGUUAAAGCCAUUUGUUUUCACACCUCAUCUCAUUGUCAUCACACCUCACUUUGAAGAAAUAACACCAGUGAGCAAAUUUCCUGUCACUAUGAAAGCCAAUUAGAGAAGGAGCUAUCAAUGACAGAGGUGGAUUCUGUUACUGCAUAAGGAAUGAGUUCUGCCAACUUUAUGAGAAAGCACUGUGGAGCAGUGGGCACAACAUCCUCCUGGUACAGUUCAUGGGAUUGCCUGGUACUUGCUCCUUCUGUGACGACUAUCUCAAUGAACAUUGUGAGCCCUACUGCUGAGCUAUCACAGUUUAUCAUGCGAAAAGUACUUCUGAGGCAAAAGAGAGCCAGAGUCAGCAAAGGCAAUAGCACUCACUAAUGAGGUACUGACAUUGCACCAUUUAAGAGUUUCUGGCUUUGGAAAAAUUUGAGGAUCCUUAAAGUGUUCAACUACAAUUAGAAAUUUCCAAAGAAAUCUGACGUUCUGUGAAAUAUUUUUGUUGAUGAAAAUAAUUCUUGGUUAGUGCUCUUUGACAAGCCAACUGGUAUAAGCUUCUGUCUUUUUCCUUCAUUUGAAAAAAAUAUACUCAUCUUUCAGUUGGCCAUUAUAAGAAUUGGAUACUUUGAGGGAACAUCUAUCACAUCCAUAGAAGAAUUGUCCUAAUAAUUAGUUAUUCACAAUGUUUUAUUUUUCCAUGUGCAUCCAGUUUAAAAUUAUCAAGAUUUAACUUCCUGGAAUUGUUUCUUAUGUCCAUACUGCUAGUUUAGGACCCA
rnacentral:lncRNA from 1 species